CAGAAACAAGAAGAAAUGGAAAAUAGCUGCAGCAUGUUUCCGACAUAUAAGUUUCUUUCUCUACAUGAAACACACAAUGAGAACACUUUAUAGAUGAAUUGUGCCUACGAUUGAAUAGAGAACAGUGCAAUUGCUUCAGUUUUGUGGAAUUGGAUAAUUUGUCACAGUUUCUGCCCUUGGAAAAAAUGACAACCCCAAGAAAAACUAGUGGAAAGGCUUUCUUAAAUAGGUAUAAAAUAUAAAACUGGUAUUUAGGGUACACAUAUGUGUUUUAAAAUAGUAUUUUUAAAAAAAUUACUAAGUUAUAAGGGGUGUUUUCAUCACCAGUGAGUGCCUAAAAAAAUUUCAUGUUCCAAUGUAUACCAUUUCUUACACUUUAAGCAAUAUUAUUAACCAAAAAAUCAUUUUGAGAUUACUCCAUGGUUACCACAGUUUUAUCUGACAACCUAUUUCUUGUUAUUGUUUAUUAUAUCAUGAAUAAUCCUUACUUUUAAAAUAAUGUACUAUUAAUAAAAUUAUACGUUAUAUAUGAUAUACAUAUAUAAAUUUACACACGUAUAAUACACCUAUAUAUGUAAUAUGUAAAAUAUAUUUAACUUUAUUUUCCUCUCAUAUCUAGAAACCGAUAAUUCAUCAGCAUAGUUGAAGGAGUAUUUUAAUAUUAAUUGCUGUUAUGACAGGAGCAGAAAUUUAGAAGAGAUCAAUUUUCAUAAGCCUGAGUAGAAAAACAUGAUCAACUGAUGCCCAUUUAUGGAAUUAUAGCAACAAUUUUACAGCCAAAAAUUUUUAGUUU
rnacentral:lncRNA from 1 species